GUGCUCGCUUUGGCAACACAUAUACUGAAGUCAGAACGAUACAGAGAAGAUUAGCAUGGCCCCCGUGCAAGGAUGACACGCAAAUCUGUGAAACAUCCCAUAUUAAA